ACCCGCUGAAUUUAAGCAUAUAAGUAAGUGGUGGAAAUUAAACCAAAUGGGAUAUCUUUAGUAAUUACGAAUGAACAAGGAUAUGCUUAGCUUGACAAAUGGAGCUAUUGGCUUUGAAUUGUAUUGUGGAAAUGUAUUACCAACAGAGGUGCAGGUGCCAGCAUAUUGAAAUAGAGCGUCAAUGAGGGUGAGAAUCCUGUUUGCCAUGUGCAGCCCUUUGUGCACGGUGUAUAUUUGCUGAGUCACACUCCUUGGCAUUGGAAUGCAAAGUGGGUGGUAAGUUUCAUGUAAAGGUAAACAUGCAACUGAGACUGAUAGCACACAAGUGCCAUGAGGGAAAUAUGAAAAAGGUUUUUGAAAAGAUAAUAAAAUGAGUUUGUAUUUGCUGGACACAAAGUAAACAGACUUGAUUUGCUUGGUGGGAGUGUUGCACUUGCUUGACAAGAGCUUUGGGCUGUGUGUGUAAUGAUUCGUUCUUUGCAUGCCAGUUUCUAUGUGUACAUCUGAUUACCUUUGCACAUGAAUGAUAAGUCUCCUGUGGGGGGUGUAUUGCAUGUGCAUGUAAUGAUGUGUGUGUUUGAUAAAUGUGUAUGGUGUUUGUGUUUGUGUUCGUGUGAUUGGGGAUGCUUCCUUCCUUGGACUUACAAGCCCUGACACACACAUGCUGGCAAAAUGAUUAUGCUUGACCCGUCUUGAAACACGGACCAAGG
rnacentral:rRNA from 1 species